GACUAUGGACAGUGACGCUGGACGAGCAGGAAUACAUGUUGUUUCUCUCUACAGUACGGGACACACUUCACUAUGACCGGCAGACAGGCAGUAAAAGCGUAUUUGGAUCUCAUGUCACAGCCAUGCAGAGCUGUGCUAAUAUUCCUAAAACAUAAUAAAAUACCACACACGGUGGAACAAAUUGCGAUAAGAAAAGGGGAGCAGAAAACACCCGAGUUCACCAAACUCAACCCUAUGCAAAAGGUGCCAGUGCUGGAGGACAAUGGGUUUGUUCUUACUGAAAGUGAUGCAAUUUUGAAGUAUCU